UUAAUUUUAAAAUGGUGUAAAAGAGAUAACAGGGCUCUAAUUUGGUUGAAAUGCGCAUCCAUGCACACGUGCUAGUGUUAAACUUGAGGUCACAGAGGAGUGACUGACUUGGGCUUGUCUGACUGGGCCUCUUGAAGCAUGGCCUUUGCAUUCCAGUGUUCAGACAAGGGCCAGCAGCUCCUAUGAGAGAGCGAGAGGGAGGAAGUUUCUGCAGGGAAGGGAUUAUGCCGUUUCCUCCCCCUCCCAUUCGCUCUCUUCUAGUGCUCCAUAAACUAUGUUGAAAAAGCUCUAGAAAUGUAAACCUGCUCCUCAGGUACACGACCCUACAGACAGGAUUAUGCUCUCCCCGCAUCUGCUGCAUCUUUUUCUGCUCUUCACUUUCUAGCCUUUUUUUUUUUUCCUUUGAGUCAUGUGGUGAAGGAAGGGCCAAUCUCAUUGGAGAACGGAAUGGGGAAACUUACAGCUGCACAAUGCUGAAGCCGGUUUUCUGCCUGACAGGCACUUAAAGCGAUUCCACUCGUGGAUGAGGUAGGGGGUGGCGGGCGGGGAGGGGGGUAAUAGAUCGUUCGCAGGAAGGGGGAAGGUCGUUUCACUUCUUUAGCACCAAGUUUCUGCGUGGUCUAGACAGCAGUUACUUCAAAACCUAAAAUGGAAUAGACUGUAAAAAAGGUGGAUGCUUCACUCCCUUUAUGAGGCUAAAGGCAUGACUGAGGGUUCGAUAUUCAGCCGAUCGAUGAGGGGAAAAAGGCACAAAGGCAAAAUCGGACGGAGCUCCUUUUCAAAUUCACAUCUCCGAUGUCCCCCCCUGCAGUGUACGGUGGUGCGACGCACAGGGAGCAAGGGUUACCUCAAGGCUGUUCCGUGGACCAUGCAAACAAGUCUAGACCAGUGACCUGCUCAAUCGCUCCCUUUGAGGGCCAGGCAAGUUCGGUCAGGAAGAAGAAAGCGAGGCGUGCCCUCUUUUCAAUGAGGGAGCAAGGAGGCAGUCGGCGGUGUUUAAGCGAAGCUCCUCAGACUUAGCACAUCUCCACACAGAUGAGCUGAGAGGUCAAUGAGUUCCUGGGCUGCCACAGCGACUGCCAAGUACAACCAGACACACUCUAUUAGAUGCAUUAUAAAACUGUUGAAACUCUCUCUGUCUUUUUCUCUUGCUCUGCUUCUCUCUCACUGUUGCAUUAACCAGAAUAAAAAAAGAAAUACGCUCUUUUAUUACUUUCAGAAUGCUUUCGACCAGACUUUGUCCAAUAAAGGAAUAAAAGCCCACUCUCUCCACCAGUGAGCCGAGGCAGUGAAUGAGCACUGCAUUCUAAUAGGAUGAGUCCGGUCACUGCUGUAGGGGGUACGGAGUGCCAUGAGAGUCCAGACAGAGAGCCAGGCACAGACAAAAGCCCCAUGCUUUGCCCAAGUUACCUGCCACAGACACUACCUGCUACACAAGCUGACCUUCUCUCCACAAUACCGCCUCUAUUGUUCGCUUGUCAAGGGCAACGGAAAGAAUAGCUCCUUUUUCCCAGCCAACAAACAGCAGCUGCUUUUGAUGGACGGGGAUCCAGCCGUGUUUGCUCAGCUUCCAGUGAAUAUUGGCGAAAUUGGAUUCAGAGUGACAAUUGAAGAGGGAGCUGGGGGCCGGUAGUUGGGUCAUUAAUGACCUCUCCAUAGCAGGUAUCUCCUCUAUUUGACAGGAAGGAGGAGGAGAAGGUACGGAAUGUAUUUACAGGUCUGUCGUGGAGAAACCACAGGGCACUUCUCAGGAGAUGACACUGUCAGUCAAUGUCAUCCAAACUCAUUUACUGUGUCAUUUACUGUUGUCUCCAGGAGAGCCAAGACUGAGCUCCCAGUUGCGGUCAGGCUGGAAGAUAUCCUCAAGCUGAUAUGAUGUGUCAGGAUGAUGUUUUAUUUUGGGGUUUUAAGCACAGUGUGAAACCAUGUCCAUGUUGUCAAGGACAGAACUUUUCUGGAGUUUGUAGAAAGCAGCCUGUUUUCCCUUUUAGUUGACAUGUGAUGUGGAUGGAACUACGGAUGCCCAAUGUAUCAAUACUGUAUCAGUUCUGUACUGUAUCAGUCAGCUGGUUUUAUACCUGAUACACUACUGUUCAAAAGUUUGAUGCCACUAAGAUUUUUUUUUUUAAAGAUAUUAUUUAUUUUUCUUCAGCAAGGAUGCAUUAAAUAAAUCAAAAGUGACAGUAAA